rnacentral:rRNA from 1 species
UACGUAGGUGGCAAGCGUUGUCCGGAUUUACUGGGCGUAAAGAGCGCGCAGGCGGUCGUUCAAGUCGCGUGUGAAAGCCCCCGGCUCAACUGGGGAGGGUCACGCGAUACUGAUCGACUCGAAGGCAGGAGAGGGUAGUAGAAUUCCCGGUGUAGUGGUGAAAUGCGUAGAUAUCGGGAGGAACACCAGUGGCGAAGGCGACUACCUGGCCUGUUCUUGACGCUGAGGCGCGAAAGCUAGGGGAGCAAACGGG